rnacentral:lncRNA from 10 species
GGAAAAUGAAAGCACAGGCACAUAUCCUAAGUCCGCAGAAGGCCGCAGAACUCCGCAGAAGGCCGCAGAACUCCGCAGAAGGCCGCAGAACUCCGCAGAAGUCCGCACACAGUAAGGAAGUUGCCUCCGCGUCCAGCCCGCUGAUUGAGCAGGCCGAGAGCCAAUGCGCAAAGAAGGUCCACUAAUUAUGGAGAACCAAAGUUUUUUCUUAAAACUGACGGGACAAUCGAUGAACCUGACCACUGCAGACAUGGACUUCCCUAAACUUCAAUCUGUGGAGAGAGGCCUCAGAGUCUUCACUCGCUAUUUCAUUUUCAGGCUCCUUCCAGCAAAAUAAAAG